UACGUAGGUGGCAAGCGUUGUCCGGAUUUAUUGGGUUUAAAGGGUGCGUAGGCGGUUCUAUAAGUCAGUGCUGAAAUAUCCCGGCUUAACCGGGAGGGUGGCAUUGAUACUGUAGGACUUGAGUAAAGUUGAGGUAGGCGGAAUUGACGGUGUAGCGGUGAAAUGCUUAGAUAUCGUCAAGAACACCGAUAGUGAAGACAGCUUACUAAACUUUAACUGACGCUGAGGCACGAAGGCCAGGGGAGCAAACGGG
rnacentral:rRNA from 1 species